CGUCGCUGUCCCCUCCCCUGGCACCGGGCAGCGCCGGGCACUGGCGGCACCGAGCAUCCUCCUCCCGCGCCAUCCGCACCAGUCGGCACCUUCAUCCCAGCAGCCGCUCCCUGUAAUGUGUAGCACCGGGAAUCUCAUCCCACGCAAACACCCGGCGCGGUACCGCACCGCUACCCGCGACCCCGCACUCUCCCUCCCCUGGUCCAGCGCAGCUCUGUUCCCUGCAGCGGCCCCUCCCGCAGUUCUGUGCAGCGCUGGACACCCCCAUGCGGUUCCCCCUCCGCGCCUGUAUCGCUCAGCACCAUUGCCUGCGCUGUCCGGAUCGGUGCCUCGCUACACAAAACACCCCCAGCACGGAGCGGCACCCACCCCUCUUGCCUUGCGCAGCACCCACCCAUGCAGGCAGUGUCCCUGCAGCGCUGCGCAGCACCAGGCAUCCCUGCAGCCUUCCCACCAGCCAGCAUUGUGCCUCUCUGCCCUGCACACGGAUUCUGCCCCACCACUGCAUUGCCUGUCACCUUCAUCCUUUAUUCAGAGGCAAAAACCCACAGGGCAGAUUUUGGGGAAGCAGGCCAGGACACCCGCUCCAACACUCUUCCUGCAGGGGACAUCCCUGCACAUGGCAGCACUGUUUGGGGCAUUGAUCUGUCCCUGCCCUGUCCCUUAAGGAUCAGGUCCAAAAUUGCCUACACAUUGUUGCGGGCAAUUCCUCGAAGCUGUCUGCCCAGGCUUGGCCCUUUGCCCUGUGGCUUGGCUCUUGGCACCUGCACUCCAGAAAUUGGAGCUCUGCAAAGGUUAAAUCUGGACUUGCAGACAGAUCCCAGCAUCUUUACGUCUGUGGAAAGACUCAUGUAAAGUAGACACCGAGUGCUCCAUAUCUCUCAUUCCAUUACCACGUUUUCUUGCUACAAGGGAAUGUUCAUGAUUUAUAAUAAAAUGAAUCAUGAGAUCGUUCUUUGGCUGUUAAAUGAACUGUGGUUUCUAAAUUAAACUGUUUCCUUCUAAAUACUGAAACAACUGCCUUUAAUCACAGCUGGAGGCCCCAAGUGAUGCCUUGUCAUUUCCAAGGCCAAAUUUUGCCAGGCACUCUAGAAUUCGUGAAUUCCAAGCUGCUUGCAAGCUUCCUGAAUAGUUGAGGUGGUCUUCAACAAUUUUUGUGGAAAUAGGCAAUAUAUUAUCUAUAGUGAAAAAAUUAUACAUAGUAAUCAUAAAUACACUUGAUGACAUGAGAAAGAGGGGUCCUGGGAGCAACCUAUCAGCUGGGCAAAAAAAAUUAAGCAACUGGAUUAAACAGCACCAUAAUUGAAAUUGCUUUAGUGACUGCAUGGCAGUGCUUUCCUAUAUGACACUCAGGAUCUGUUUUAUGUGUAGCAAUACUUAAAAGUCUUUUGAGCAAUGUGCAUGUGUAGCAGUUAAGUAAUUUCCCUGGUUGCAGACAGUGGAAAAGUUUGGAAGUGUGUUUUAGAGAAUAUUUCUAUUGUCUGAACUUUUAAAAGCCUUCUGCUAAAGCAGGGGCAUGUCUUUAUAAUUGUGGGCUGCCCAGUCAAAUCUGAACUGACAUGCAAGAGCUUUUUGGUAGGAGACAGGUUUGCAGUGGUGUGAGGAGGGUGUUUUUAUUCUACCAGCUGGUAGAGCUCGGGUGUGGAAGAGGUGCAGACCAGGAACAAGGACAACCAGUUUUGAAAGAGCUUUUUGUUCAUGCAGACAACAGGCAGAGGGAAGAGGGCUGGAGGCACAAAGAGUCACAGCAGCAAGAGUGGAGCUGUCCCAGGCUGGGGAUCACCUCAAGUCAUUCCUUCCUGUGCUGGCUUGGUGCAGCAGCAAUCUGUCUGCAUCGAAGCAGAGGCUUUAAUCUGUGCAGCAGCAGCCAUGCAUGUCCUGGAGGCUUUUCAGUUGAUGUCCCAGUGAUGCCCUCAGAGGCACAGCUUCUUGCAGAUCUUUUACUGUGGAAAAUGGUCAGGGUAGCACAGGUCAAAGCAGAGACCACAAGGACAACUCCUAAAUAUCCUGCAAGGCUGGGUGUGCCCAGCUAAUCUGACUGUGACGUGCUCUUUGCUGCAUUCAGGAUGAGCUGCUACUCUGAGGGGCUCUGCUCAAACGAGGUCCACUGCAUCAGGGUCAGCACAGCUCCCUGCUCCUCGGGCAGCUCCACAUGCCAUGACUGCCUCUGCACUGUCCAUGAGGAAGGUAAGAGAGGAGAGGAAGUUGAGGACAUAAUAGGAAUGGGAAGGGGACAAGAUGAGGAUGAUAUGGCAGAACAAAGAUCGUUUGCUGGGACUGCAAAAUGCAAUUGCAAAGGCCUGACUCUAGGAGGGGGUGCAGGAGAGUGACCAUUGCAGGGAUCUGUAGGAAGGGAUACAUCGUGGCUUAAGUGCAAACUGCUGACUCAUUCCUGUUCCAAAUCACGCUCCUCUGGUGGCACAGUGGGGCAGCUGGCAGCAGGAAAACUGAUUGGGAAGAGCCCUGUGGGAGAAGGUUUCACUGCUUUCAAGCUGCUGCUUAGAUACCUAGAUGCAUGUGGGAAAAAUGCAGACUGCUUGUUUUCUGAGAAAAAAAAAAAAUAGAAGAUUAGUCUCCUUUGUUAGCAGGAGUUCUGGCCUUAGAGUCCUCCACAUGACAGGUAGAACUGGUUAUAAGGGACAAAAGGCAGGGCAAGGCUGACAGGAAGGAUGCUAGAAGGACACUGUUGUCCAGCUGAGCACCCUGGCUCUUGCAGGGCAGUCCUCUGUCUCUGUAACCUCCCCAGAUCCCUGCAUUCAGAAUCCCCUACUCCAGGGCUCUGAGGCAUUUUCCCAGGAAGGUGACAGACUUCCCCACCUGGAGGGGACCCCUGGAAGCAGCACCUCUCCUUCCACCUCCUGGAAGCAUGUCCCAACUCUUCUUAAGCCCUGCAGAUGCAGACUGCAGCCUUUCUUCUCUGCUGCUGCAGUGCAGGGUGCUUUCACUUUGUUGAGCCACUGUCUCUACUUCGAUGAUGUUUAAGCCCAAAACUUCCCUCUGUAGAAGCCUGCCUUCUCCCCUGCAGGACUGGGGGUCCCACUACCAUGCACUGUUUGCCCAUGUCACAGAUCUCACAGAUCCUGCUGCUGCAGAUGGGAAACUGCUAAAGCCUCCCCACACUCACACGCUCACAAGCCAUGCCUGGUGCUCUGCCUGCUUCUUCAUCCCUGCUAUCAUGACAUUUCAUGGUCCCAAGCUCCUAGCGGGAUGUGCCUUCAGGGAACAAUUGCCCAUUGCAAUUUCCCUAUCUUUAUAAUGGGCAAAGCAGAGUGGGACUGUGGGAGAAGCCCCUGUUCCAAAACAGAGGGCUGAGCACCCUUGCCUUCGCAGGACACCAUUGGACAGCUGGAGGAUGACCUGCGAAACACCAAAAAUGAGAUGGCUCGGCACUUGAGGGAGUACCAAGACCUGCUCAACGUCAAGAUGGCCCUUGAUAUUGAGAUAGCUGCCUACAGGAAGCUGCUGGAGGGAGAGGAGACCCUCUUCAACAUGGGAAGCGGUGGCCUUCCAUCACUCAAUUCCCUCCCCAGCCCUACUUACUCCUUCCAGCCAAGGAGCUUUAGUUCCUCUACUCUGUCCUUCAAAGAGGAGGAGCAAGGAGAGGUUAUUAAAGUGACCUCUAAAAUAUCAUCCAGCAGGGCUGAGGUGAUUGAAGGAACCAUAACCUCUGUCAAGAAAAGAGGGAGGUUAAACCUGCAUGGAGGAAUCCUUGCAAAUGCAAAGAUGUAACCAUCAGGACCCUGUUCACAAGCAUUUGAGGGGGAACAGUCUCCACUCGGCCUUGAAAUUGCUCCUCUGGGCACAAAGCUGCACUGGGCUCGCAGGAAGCCUCCCUUAAAAACACGUAACCUCCCCUGGGGACACCGACCCAGGGAUGGCUUCCUUGCGGGUCCUGCCACACAGAGGCCGAGCUUGGCACAUUGCUCCCUUUUAAAUGGGGUGGGGGCACACAGGACAGGUAGCUAGAGAUGCAUGUUGGUCAUUGUGGUGGCACAUGGAUGCGCAGCACGCUCCCUCUCCUCCUGCGGCGGGCGGGCGAGGGGCAGCCAGCUGGGAAUUCUGCUGAGCCAGCUCUCUGGGGAGGGGAGGGAAACAACUCAACAUGUUUACUGUAACUAGUUUCAAGGCUACAUACCUUCAUCUACUAUCCAAAUCCAUGUACAGCUAAACUUUUCCCCACUCCUCGAAUUGUAGCCAUCCACUUUUAACCCUAGAAGCACAGAAAUAGCCAUAACUGGACUGUAACCACACCUGACAUCUGAUCUCAGCCACGUAUAGUUUUGAACUCUAAGGAAUGUUAAUUUUUCUUUGUACUGACCAGUCUUGAUUUCUGACAGCACUAGUCAAGCCAGGCACAUAGGGUUUAUAAGCAGCAGGCACAGGGCAGGAACUGCUACAUUUGAGGUGAAGGCACCAUCAUGCUGGGGUGCAGUACCUCAUGUGGUAUCACUGUCUCCCAAAUAUGAGGGUCUGAGGGCCCCUUGUUUGGCUGCACAGUCUUCAUGUGAAAAACCUGUGCCCAGAUUAGCAUCGUGCCCCAGUCAGCACUGGGAAGCUGAAGGACUCCUGAACACCAGCCUGCAAAGCAUCCUUGUCUCUGCUCUAACUGUUCCAAUCUGUGCCAAAUUUGAUAUAGGAUUUAACAACUAUAGGUUUCCUUCAAUGCCUUAAAUUGCCAGCAAUCGCUUUUGCAAGAGCAGGAGACUCCGUGUGUUGUGUGUCAGUGCCCUGGCAGGGUUAUCAUCAUCAGACCUCGCUGCCCUUGCGGUGCUGCCAGAGUAGUUCCUGGAACCAGCAAAUUGUUUGCUCGCACUCUUUCCUCUUCUAUUGUAAGGCACAAGUUAAUAAUUAAAAAAAGAAAUAGUUGUGUGGAUCAAA